rnacentral:rRNA from 1 species
UACGUAGGGGGCAAGCGUUGUCCGGAAUCAUUGGGCGUAAAGCGCAUGUAGGCGGUUCGAUAAGUCUGCUGUGAAAGUCCAAGGCUCAACCUUGGGAUGCCGGUGGAUACUGUCGGGCUAGAGUCCGGAAGAGGCGAGUGGAAUUCCUGGUGUAGCGGUGGAAUGCGCAGAUAUCAGGAGGAACACCAAUGGCGAAGGCAGCUCGCUGGGACGGUACUGACGCUGAGGUGCGAAAGCGUGGGGAGCGAACAGG